rnacentral:rRNA from 1 species
GACGCGUUGGCCCAAUUGAUUGAUGGUGCUUGCACCUGAUUGAUUUCCGUUGAAACGAGUGGCGGACGGGUGAGUAACACGUAGGUAACCCGCCCAGAAGCGGGGGACAACAUUUGGAAACAGAUGCUAAUACCGCAUAACAGCGUUGUUCGCAUGAACAACGCUUAAAAGAUGGCUUCUCGCUAUCACUUCUGGAUGGACCUGCGGUGCAUUAGCUUGUUGGUGGGGUAACGGCCUACCAAGGCGAUGAUGCAUAGCCGAGUUGAGAGACUGAUCGGCCACAAUGGGACUGAGACACGGCCCAUACUCCUACGGGAGGCAGCAGUAGGGAAUCUUCCACAAUGGGCGCAAGCCUGAUGGAGCAACACCGCGUGAGUGAAGAAGGGUUUCGGCUCGUAAAGCUCUGUUGUUAAAGAAGAACACGUAUGAGAGUAACUGUUCAUACGUUGACGGUAUUUAACCAGAAAGUCACGGCUAACUACGUGCCAGCAGCCGCGGUAAUACGUAGGUGGCAAGCGUUAUCCGGAUUUAUUGGACGUAAAGAGGGUGCAGGCGGUUUUCUAAGUCUGAUGUGAAAGCCUUCGGCUUAACCGGAGAAGUGCAUCGGAAACUGGAUAACUUGAGUGCAGAAGAGGGUAGUGGAACUCCAUGUGUAGCGGUGGAAUGCGUAGAUAUAUGGAAGAACACCAGUGGCGAAGGCGGCUACCGGGUCUGCAACUGACGCUGAGACUCGAAAGCAUGGGUAGCGAACAGGAUUAGAUACCCUGGUAGUCCAUGCCGUAAACGAUGAGUGCUAGGUGUUGGAGGGUUUCCGCCCUUCAGUGCCGGAGCUAACGCAUUAAGCACUCCGCC